rnacentral:rRNA from 1 species
CCUACGGGAGGCAGCAGUGGGGAAUAUUGGACAAUGGGCGAAAGCCUGAUCCAGCCAUGCCGCGUGUGUGAAGAAGGCCUUCGGGUUGUAAAGCACUUUCAGUGGGGAAGAAAGCCUUGGGGCUAAUACCCUCGAGGAAGGACAUCACUCACAGAAGAAGCACCGGCUAACUCCGUGCCAGCAGCCGCGGUAAUACGGAGGGUGCGAGCGUUAAUCGGAAUUACUGGGCGUAAAGCGCGCGUAGGCGGUCUGAUAAGCCGGUUGUGAAAGCCCCGGGCUCAACCUGGGAACGGCAUCCGGAACGGGCAGGCUAGAGUGCAGUAGAGGGAGGUAGAAUUCCCGGUGUAGCGGUGAAAUGCGUAGAGAUCUGGAGGAAUACCAGUGGCGAAGGCGGCCUUCUGGACUGACACUGACGCUGAGGUGCGAAAGCGUGGGUAGCAAACAGGAUUAGAUACCCGUGUAGUC